rnacentral:rRNA from 1 species
UAUAACCGGCGAUUUCCGAAUGGGGAAACCCAGUGUGACUCGUCACACUAUCAUUAACUGAAUCCAUAGGUUAAUGAGGCGAACCGGGGGAACUGAAACAUCUAAGUACCCCGAGGAAAAGAAAUCAACCGAGAUUCCCCCAGUAGCGGCGAGCGAACGGGGAGGAGCCCAGAGCCUGAAUCAGCAUGUGUGUUAGUGGAAGCGUCUGGAAAGGCGCGCGAUACAGGGUGACAGCCCCGUACACAAAAGCGCAUGUGCUGUGAGCUCGAUGAGUAGGGCGGGACACGUGGUAUCCUGUCUGAAUAUGGGGGGACCAUCCUCCAAGGCUAAAUACUCCUGACUGACCGAUAGUGAACCAGUACCGUGAGGGAAAGGCGAAAAGAACCCCGGCGAGGGGAGUGAAAAAGAACCUGAAACCGUGUACGUACAAGCAGUGGGAGCACA